rnacentral:misc_RNA from 1 species
AGCUUCCACAGUGUUUUCCGAAAGGCAAAUCUUUUUUCAAACUUCAGCGACUGCGUUUUGAAUUUGUGAUUUUUAAAGGAAAUUUUCAAUUAUGGCUGAAGAGGUGGAGGAAGAGAGGCUAAAGUAUUUGGAUUUUGUGCGAGCGGCUGGAGUUUAUGCUGUAGAUUCUUUCUCAACUCUCUACCUUUAUGCCAAGGACAUAUCUGGUCCAUUAAAACCUGGUGUCGAUACUAUUGAGAAUGUGGUGAAGACCGUGGUUACUCCUGU